rnacentral:rRNA from 1 species
UACGAAGGGGGCUAGCGUUGUUCGGAAUUACUGGGCGUAAAGCGCGUGUAGGCGGGUCUUUAAGUCAGGGGUGAAAUCCUGGAGCUCAACUCCAGAACUGCCCUUUGAUACUGGCGAUCUUGAGUCCGGGAGAGGUGAGUGGAACUGCGAGUGUAGAGGUGAAAUUCGUAGAUAUUCGCAAGAACACCAGUGGCGAAGGCGGCUCACUGGCCCGGUACUGACGCUGAGGUGCGAAAGCGUGAGGAGCAAACAGG